rnacentral:miRNA from 1 species
ACGAAACCAUAGGGAUUUUGGCAU